UGCGGUAAUAGUAACAGACUUAUGACGUAGUAUUUUAUUAUGAAAACGAUUAACUUUUUUUAUGGAAUGUAAAUCAUAUUUCUAGUUUUGAGUUGAAUUAAUAAUACUAAGUGAAGGUCUAUUCGUGCCGUAAAGGCAAAUUAUUAAUUAUUGUUAGGAUGUCUAGUAAAUGAAUAAGAAAACAGGCCAAGUAAAAUGGUUUAACGAGAGUAAAGGUUUCGGUUUUAUAACCCCUGCCGAUGGAAGUAAAGACGUAUUUGUUCACUUCUCAGCUAUUUCCGGUGACGGAUUUAAAACAUUAGCUGAAGGUCAACAAGUCGAAUUUGCUAUCCAAGAUAGCCCUCGUGGACCUGCAGCAGCUGAAGUUGUUGUUAUUUAACUAAAUUCUUUAUUAGUAUGAAACCAAAAGCCCAUUUUAACUAAUGGGCUUUUUAU
rfam:Gilliamella apicola strain wkB1, complete genome.